AAAACUGUAACCAAAUAAUCAGAGGUGGAGUAUGGAUCAAAGUGGAACUUACCGAAGGCAGUAGGGACCUGGGAAUCAAGUUCAGACAUGAAACUUUG